GAAAAAAAAAAAGAAGAGAAGAGAAGAGAAACUUAGGCUAGAAACAAGGAAAGAGCUACGAUUUUGGGAGGAGAAAAAGGCAGCCCAAAACGUUACCAAACAGUCCCUAAGUUUCAGCUGCGCUAAAGGAAAUUCCGAGGCAAGUUUUGGCGAGUUUUGGUGAAUUUCGGGAAAGGUUCAAGAGACGACGAGGCGAGCAUAGUUAAGAGUAAUCCGUAAGAGGUACAGAUGAUUGGUUUGCUGAUCCGCUCGCUUAGGACAUCCACCAUGUUGGUCGACAGUGCUCCUUUGUUCGGAGUUCUAUUUUGGUACUGACACCUUCUGUUGUAUAUAUAUAUACGUUGU